AUUUUAGUUCGCUUCGAACCUUUUCUUAGCUUGGAUUUCACCCAACUAAAUUAUUAGCUGCGUCGCGUCGGUCGGAUUCUUUGCUGUUUCAUUGUUGUCAUCGAGUGAGUUAUCGUGUACAUGGGAGCAAGAUUGGAAGUUCGAUUGGCGAGCUGGUCGAGCGCUUGCGACCAUUUCAGGACAGCUGUAUCAUCCGGAGGCGCCUCAGAAAAAUCAUCAGCGUACGGAUUAUGACAAGGAAGGCGCAUCCAAUUACCGAAUAGUGUUCCACCCGGCUUUUGCGUACUCAGGCGCAAUUUGUGAAAUUCGACGCUUUUCUUGGGGCGGAGAUCAUGGUUUCGGGAAUCCACCUGAUCCGGACACUAAAUGGCUACCGCCGUCACCGUCAACAAUCCGCUACUGCGUUAUUCCAGCUCCUUGUUCGUUUCGGUCUCUAGGACCACCACAAUCCUAGCCCUGACGGAAGUUACAGAAGUGGAUUGAUUUGUGGUACCGUGACAUCACUUAAUUCCAUCCACUUUUUUCGGUUCAUAAUUCCAUUCACGCCAUUAGUUUUGCAUGGUGUGAAUGGAAUUAGGAACCAAAAAAUGUAAUUGGAAUUGAGUGAUGUCUCGGUACACGAAAUGUAAGCCAAAUAGGAUAAAUAAUAACGUUUUCCUAAGAAUAAACGAAAGAUUGGCACGAAUAUUCAUUGUUUCAUUUUUACAUUAUUUUUUUUAUUAAAAAAAGAAUAAGAAGAAGAGGGAACGUUGGGGGAGCGUGAUCAUACAAAAUAAUUUCAACAAACUUUUUGUUAAAUUUGAACUACAGUGUUUGUUUGUCUGUAACUGAUUUUUGCUAGAUUGAAACUAAACAAUUUGGUUGAAAUAGCAAAUGUUCUAGUUUGUUUCGAGAGCUGUCAAAACACAACAACCAAAAUAAUGGUAAGUUUUAACAAAAUUUGGUUGACUUAAGCUACUGGACCCUCAAAACAGUUACAUAAUAACUUAGUUAGCUUUAACCAACGCCACCAGUUGAAAGAAACUAAGAUUUUGUUUGUGCAAAAAUCAACAUUGAAAUUAGGUUGGAUCUUGCUAACUUUUGUUUGCAUUUACCAAAUAUUUUUCUCCGUGAUCUUUUUUUUUCUUUGGAUUUCAGGCCGAACAUUUCAAUAGGUCCUAUCUGCAUUUGAGAGGCUCCAAGAGAGGCUCUCUUUAUUCACUUUUUCUUUCAAUUAUUGCAAUGUAAUGGUAAAUUUUUCAACUACUUUUGCAGUACAAAUCAAAAGACGAUUGAUUUGACCAUCAUUCUAUGCAAGGAGAUAAUCAUAAUUCAAAUGAACAGCUGAGAUAUUAACGAAAGAGAGGGAAACCAAAGAGAGCCUCUCUUCUGCAGAUAGGACCUUUAGACAUGUUUGGCCUGAUUUGUGUGUGUUCGACUGGCUGAAGACCAUUCCAAAGAGUUCCAAAGUGUUGAGGGACUUGGCUUCGAAGACUCAUGAAGGUCGAUCCCGAGACACUGCCACCCACAGGAAGCUCUCGUAGGGGGCACAUAUAAUCCGAGAGGAAAUUCCCCUUGCUCCUAAAGGACUAAACCACGGACCACGUAGGUUGAACCACUAUCGGUGUGAUUUGUGGUACCCAAGAUGGUACCAUGCUGGAAAGCAUCCGACAGUAAUCAUAUGAAAGUUCUGCCGUGGACAAAUUGGUUGGCGAUGGAUCCGGAACGUCCUACAAGGGCUCACUCCCAUGUUAUAAUUAGCGAAGUAAAAUAAUCGAGCACAUUAUGAAAAUGUAUUGGGGUUUGUAGUAUUCACCUCCGCGCCCGUCUGUCACUGACUAAUCUCCUCUCUCUCUACCUUUCGCUACCUGUCAAUGUAUCAAUCAAGGUCUUCUAUAUAAGGUAGGAACAUCUGGUAUCUUUACCAGUAUUGGUGUUGUAUAAUUUAGUAUGACGUAACAUGCCAGAAAGUCGGGACGGUUCGUGUUAAUACACUACAAUCCCCCCUCGACAAUAAAUAAAGUGCUCGUUACUAUAGCCGAAUAUUAAUACAUAAAUCUAGGCCAAAAGCGCCGUACAACAUGUUAGAGUAACUCAUUUAUACCGAAGAAAAGUUGCAAUUAUUUCGAGUCCCAUAUGAUUGAUUACAUAUUCUUAAAUCACUUCAGAGCAGUUAAAAUCUGAAUAAUCUAACGUAUACGAUCAUCCAAGAAGCAUGUGAUUCGUUUAACAACAAGUCCAACCUAUCCUCCUCAUUAUCUCGAUCAUUAAACAACGUAAACAUGUUACAGUUAUUUUACGUCUACUGUACGUUGAUUCUGCCAUAAUCUCCCUUACUUUUUUAUUUUAGUUUUUUUUUUUUGUUUAGAGACGUCUGUAGCUAUCUAUGCAGUAACUAUAUUCUUCAUACCACUUCAAAUUCCUUCUCUUCCUCUAAAUGUAACGUGUGAUAUAACCAAACUUAGCCUAAACAGCUAAGCCAUUCCAAUUCAAAACAUUAGUUCAUGUUACGUUGCAACUACAUGAAUCCGUUUUUUUUUACAUUUAUCGAGUUUCAUUGCUCCGUGUAAUUAUUAUUUUUAACAUCGGAGACAUCAAUACUAUUGUAACGAGCUCAAUCCACAUACGCUUACGCCAAAUUAACUCUAUCUCUAUCAUCGAAACAUCUCGCAGUUUACAUACAUGUGGAUCAGCUGUUCAUUCGGAAAAAGGGAAUUUCGUCUUGUCUAAAGUAGAUAUAUGUUGAAAUUCAUUUAUAUUUCAAACAUAUUAAACAUGUUGCCUUGCUUUUCUUUAUCUGAAGAAUAUAACAGUUAUUUUUUCCGGUUAUUCGUUACAGCGCUUGCCGGCAAAACAUGAUCAGAAUUGCGCUUCACAAGUACUUCCAUACUUAGGAUUGACACCUUAUAAUCAAUCUCACAGUGACGGCCUCCAAAUAAUUCAUUGAAACACUCUUUGAAUUCAAACUUUCUAAAUUAGUAAUCGGAUGCUAUAUUGAAGCUUGUCUCCAGUGUACGGGAAAACGAGAACAGCGUUUCCCAAGAAAGAUUAUUCCAGUCGAUAGUUACUGAAAUUAUCAAGAAUGUGACCAGAAUCAACGCAACCACAGCAUCAGAUAUUCAAAUCCAUGCUGAUUUUUCGUUUAACUUAUGAUUAGUUUGUGAAUUAGUUAAAUAGGCCGUAAAGUUUUCAAAGUAUAAUUCACCUCUGUGGGUCACAUACCUAUAAUACACUCACUCAACCUUUCGGUUGUUAUGCGGUCAGCAGCAACACGUUAGAGCUGCGUUUAAUACUUUGAUUUUUUUUUUAUUGAGUAGUACAAAACACAACAGUAGGACAACCAAAAGUGUAUUCUGUGAUUCUCGACAUUUUCACUCAGAACUAAAUGAAUCAAUUCAUUAGUUGAUGCUUUUGCUUCUUUUGAAAUCCUGACUCUCACUAGAACCCGACCUGUCUUUCUUCAACCCCGUUCUCUUUGUGCACUAUCAGAGUUAUUAAUUGAAGUGCCUCCUCCCACCUGCCAUUGCGUGAAAUUGUAUAUUGUGUUGUAAGCACAAUGAAGCCGGAAAUCUUUUUUUUUCGACCGGAACGGGAAUGUAACCUGCAGUCUCCAAUUUGACAAAACGAAUGAGGCGAGCAUGUAUGACAAUAAGGUAUGUUGACCGUCACGAUUCUCAACUCUCAACUCUCCAUAUCAGUUGGGACACUGAUCCAUCCUGUUCAUCUUCAUCUCUCACUAUUUCACACAACUCAACUGACUCCAUUCUUCUGGAUAUUUUCUUUUAUUUCAUCCUUUUCAAAUCAGCUAUGCAUAUGAAUCACCGUUCAGCAAUUCAACCGAAUUCUCACCACAUGAUUAUUAGCUACUCCAUGUUGCAAAGCUACACAGACAUCAUGUGCAGGCCGUCAUCUCAUAAUCCACUUCCCUUAGACUCAUCAACGAUCCAAUCUUAGCACUAUCGUUCAUUGCCUCUAUCUUUUCUCGAAUUGGGCAGCUUUUUUCAGCUUCAGUAACACGAAUACUUAGUAUUUUCGUAAACACGAACAAUUAGUAUUUUCGUAAAUAUAAAUUAAUCACAAACGUACAACUCCUUGCUAAUUCCCAAAAAUGCAGUGAAUCCUUACUUCGAUUCGUUUUCUUAAUGGCGUGAUGGUCCUAAUGGGACCAAACUAGUUUCUCAGUUCAGUGUAACAUGAACAUUGCGACUAUUAUGCUGUUGCUUGAAAUCCAAAGUGAACUGGGGAGCGAAAAUUGAGUUUUUACUCACUUUAAUGUGUCACUACUCGAUUCGGAUGAGUGCAUGUAGUAGCUCUUACCUAGCUGAAUGAUGCGCAAUGCUAACCAUUUGUUCAAAUUUACUUCGCAUCUAUAACUUCACAUGUCGCGCGAGUCACGACUUCGAUUUAGUGCUGCGACGAUAAUAUAUUCUCAGAGACCUCUCUUCGCCAAAUCACAUUUUUUUUUGCAUUCUCCCAUCGUGUAACAUGCCACAUUAUUGUGUGAUGGAUACACUUUACGUUCAAGAAUGUCAAGUAAAAUUCCAUAUUAAAAGUUACUUGAAUAUUCUGCAAUAAACCCCAGGCACUCUCAGUGUAGUUAAAUACUCCAGCGUUUACCACAUCGACUGUAUGGAUCCUCCAGUAUCACCACGAUUAUCUUAACUGGAACAUUCUUCUUUUUAUUUUUUUUUUUUCGAAUUUUGACUGUUGGUUAUAUAGUGACCGAAACGUGGGAUGAAAUCUUAAGAAUCCGUUUUUGAGUAUCCUGUAUCUUUGCCACCCAAUGACGUUCCUUGUAUUUACGUAGCUUAUAAGCUUAUAAGCUUACGCUUCUACAUGCCCAUGGCAAAUUCUUUACACUUACUGAAUCCUCGCGAUUCUUGCAGAAGAUCCUUCCGCCCUCCGUAACAUGGUGAAUCCUUAAGAUUUUCGUCACUGGAAAAUCCUUCCGGUCUUCGCAAACUUAAGAUAUUUCAAGAUUCUUAACGAGGAGGCUCAUCAAGUUUCUCACAAAUGGAAGGUCCUUUAUAUCUUAGCAACCUUGAAACACUGAGGAUCCCCGAAACACUCGCCACUGAAAGAUCCAUUCGAUUUUCGCAACACAAGAAAAUCCUCCUGAUUUUCUUAACACGUAGAAUCGCUAGGAUACAUGCGAUUGGAAGAUCCUUCCGAUUUUCACUACCCGGGUAUCUUCCAGAUUUCCUGAAUUCAGAGAAUCCUUGUGAUUCUCGCAACAGGAAGACCCUUCCGAUCUGCGCAACUUAAGAAAAUCCUCCUGAUUUUGUGAACACGAAGAAUCCUCACAAUUCUUGCAACUGAAAGAUCCUUUCAAACUUCGUAACCCAAGAAAAUCCUCCAGAUUUUCUGAACACGGAGAAUCUAAAUAAUUCUCACAACUGGAAGAUCCUUUUGAUCUUCGAAACCCAAGAAAAUCCUCCUGGUAUUCUAAACACGAAGAAUCCUUACGAUUCUCGCCACUGGAAGAUUCUUAUGAUCUUCGAAACCCAAGAAAAUCCUCCUGAUUUUCUGAACACGGAGAAUCCUUACGAUUCUCGCAACUGGAAGAUCUUUCCGAUCUUCGCGACCCAAGAAAAUCCUCCUGAUUUUCUGAACACGGAGAAUCCUUACGACUCUCGCUACUGGAAGAUCCUUCCGAUCUUCGCAAUCCGAGAAAAUCCUCCUGAUUUUCUGAACACGGAGAAUCCUUACGAUUCUCGCUACUGGAAGAUCCUUCCGAUCUUCGCAAUCCGAGAAAAUCCUCCUGAUUUUCUGAACACGGAGAAUCCUUACGAUUCUCGCUACUGGAAGAUCCUUCCGAUCUUCGCAAUCCGAGAAAAUCCUCCUGAUUUUCUACAGGCGGAGAAUCCUUACGAUUCUCGCAACUCCGAUAUAAUCAAAAGAUGCGCAGCAAUAAGACGCUCAAAAGGUACCGUUGCGCACACUUGACCACUUCUCCCUUUUCAUUCAAAUGCAUGCAAUCUUCCCUUCCUUGCAUGCAAGUCACACAAUGAGUAAAAAUAAACACUUUACUGGGUAACUUCCGCUCAUCGUGCAAAUCACGAGCAUCAAAAUAAACAUUUCUCCACCGGCUACCGAAAACCGUCCAUUCUUGGUCAAAUCCAAAUCAUGCAAAUGGAUUCCUUACCUGGCCGUUCCUCCACUUGAUCCAGAAACUGUUCAUUAAGAAGAAAAACAACAACAACCCACCGUGCUGUUUAGAAUCCAUCCUCGUUCGCCAGUUGUAGUAUUCACCUCCGCGCCCGUCUGUCACUGACUAAUCUCCUCUCUCUCUACCUUUCGCUACCUGUCAAUGUAUCAAUCAAGGUCUUCUAUAUAAGGUAGGAACAUCUGGUAUCUUUACCAGUAUUGGUGUUGUAUAAUUUAGUAUGACGUAACAUGCCAGAAAGUCGGGACGGUUCGUGUUAAUACACU